rnacentral:rRNA from 1 species
AUUGAACGCUGGCGGCAGGCCUAACACAUGCAAGUCGAGCGAGCGGCGGACGGGUGAGUAAUGUAUGGGGACUGCCCGAUAGAGGGGGAUAACUACUGGAAACGGUGGCUAAUACCGCAUACUAUCGGAUAACCCAUAUGGGAUUAGCUAGUAGGUGGGGUAAAGGCUCACCUAGGCGACGAUCUCUAGCUGGUCUGAGAGGAUGAUCAGCCGCACAGGGACGAAGAAACGGACAAGACUCCUACGGAGGCAGCAGUGGGGAAUAUUGCACAAUGGGAGCAAGCGUGAUGCAGCCAGGCCGCGGGUAUGAAGAAGGCCGUAGGGUUGUAAAGUACUUGCAGCGGGGAGGCGUUACCAGCAGAAGAAGCACCAGCUAACUCCGUGACAGGCGCCGCGGUGAUUA